GACGAACGCUGGCGGCGUGCUUAACACAUGCAAGUCGAACGGAAAGGCCCUGCUUGCAGGGUGCUCGAGUGGCGAACGGGUGAGUAACACGUGGGUGAUCUGCCCCUUACUUUGGGAUAAGCCUGGGAAACUGGGUCUAAUACUGGAUAGGACCAUGCUGUAGGUGGUGUGGUGGAAAGAUUAGUUUCGGUAAGGGAUGAGCUCGCGGCCUAUCAGCUUGUUGGUGGGGUAAUGGCCUACCAAGGCGUCGACGGGUAGCCGGCCUGAGAGGGUGGAAGGCCACAUUGGGACUGCGAUACGGCCCAGACUCCUACGGGAGGCAGCAGUGGGGAAUAGUGCACAAUGGGCGCAAGCCUGAUGCAGCGACGCCGCGUGGGGGAUGACGGCCUUCGGGUUGUAAACUCCUUUCAGCCAUGACGAAGCCCUUGUGGUGACGGUAGUGGUAGAAGAAGCACCGGCUAACUACGUG
rnacentral:rRNA from 1 species